CGUGUAGGCGGUCAAGUAAGUGGAAUGUGAAACGCCUCGGCUUACCCGAGGACCUGCAUCCCAAACUGCUUGGCUUGAGUAUGGGAGAGGAUGAGGGAAUUCCUGGUGUAGCGGUGAAAUGCGUAGAUAUCAGGAGGAACACCGGUGGCGAAAGCGCUCAUCUGGCCCAAUACUGACGCUGAGGCGCAAGCUAGGGAGCAAACG
rnacentral:rRNA from 1 species